rnacentral:lncRNA from 1 species
GGUAUAUACAAUUUUAUGUAUGAAGGAUAGGGUUUAGGCACAGCAAAUAAAUAUAUAAUAAAACAAACAAACAAACAAACAGGCAAAAGAAGAGCAAAGGUGUAUUUAUCAGUAUUUGGAUAAUGUCAUUAUAUUGCCGCACAAAAGUCACUUUUGGAGACUCUGAUCGAAAUGUUAAAUUAUUCAAAUUCACCUGUUUAUUUGCUUUUAUGCGACAAUUCUAAAUAAUUACAUUAGAUGUAUGUUUCAUUAUAAUGCGUUAUUCUGAUUGGCUAACUGCACAUCACGUGUUAUUCCUUAAGCAGUUGUAUCACACAAUAAAACACUAAAUGCUUCUUUUUGUAACUUCAUAGGGUUGUAAAAGAAUUGAAAGUGCGCACAUUUUAAGAAUGAAGCGCUUCGGCGCUUCAUACAAAAUGUACUUCGGUCAACGCUUUUACACCCCAAUAAAGUUACAAAAAGAAGCAUUCAAUUCUUAAAUGAAAUUUGUACAAACAGUGAUAUACAAAUCAAUGCAAGAAAGAGUU